GAUAAAUAAUAGUGAAGUAGUGAAAUGUUAACUGUGUUUUCUUCAACAACACUGAGUUACAGACUUUUACUAAGUGAAUCCUGAUCAAUGUUUAUAGGUGAUCAUGUUACUAUUGCAUCAGAAACAUCUAAAGCAGCUCUGUGUGAUAAUUCAGUGGUGUGUGAACCAACACCGCAUGGAAACAACACUAACACCAACACACAACACAACACAGGUGAGAUGUCAGUGUUUUGUACUAAUCUAAAUAUAAUGUGGUGAAAUAACAGAAUCAGAAAUGAUCAGAUCUCUACAUCGGACAGUGAUCGGUUUGGGAUCGGCUUUGGGUUUGUGCGCACUUCUGAUUUUCUGUCUCACUUAUUUCAUACUGAGGAGAAGAAAACUUGAAACCUCUAGAUCUAACACUGCUGUAGAAGAUUCUCCAGGAACGAUGCAGGAAUCUGAAGCUGAAUCACUGAAUUAUGCGGCUUUGCAAUUCUCCAAGAGGAAAACCAAAGCUGAAAAAAGAAAACCCGUCUCAUCAGAUGAGUGUGUGUACACUGAUGUGAAGAAAUCUGUAAGAUAACAUAAAUGUCUCAUGGUCAAACACAUGGUACUAUUACACAAAGAUAACCUUUUAGCAAAGAAAGUAAAGAGUAAAAUAUAAUCCUUAAUUAUCAUUACGAGUUAGAAAUCUACAUUAAUGUCAAGUCUUGAAAUUUUCACAAUGAUUUCUUUCAAAUGUCCUGAUCUUACAUUUCACCAGCAGUAAA